GACGAACGCUGGCGGCGUGCUUAACACAUGCAAGUCGAGCGAUGAAGUUCCUUCGGGAAUGGAUUAGCGGCGGACGGGUGAGUAACACGUGGGUAACCUGCCUCAUAGAGGGGAAUAGCCUUCCGAAAGGAAGAUUAAUACCGCAUAAGAUUGUAGCUUCGCAUGAAGUAGCAAUUAAAGGAGUAAUCCGCUAUGAGAUGGACCCGCGUCGCAUUAGCUAGUUGGUGAGGUAACGGCUCACCAAGGCGACGAUGCGUAGCCGACCUGAGAGGGGGAUCGGCCACAUUGGGACUGAGACACGGCCCAGACUCCUACGGGAGGCAGCAGUGGGGAAUAUUGCACAAUGGGGGAAACCCUGAUGCAGCAACGCCGCGUGAGUGAUGACGGUCUUCGGAUUGUAAAACUCUGUCAGUGGGGACGAUAUUGACGGUACCCACAGAGGAAGGCCCGGCUAACUACGUGCCAGCAGCCGCCGCGGUAA
rnacentral:rRNA from 1 species